GGGUUAGAAACACACAUGGAUCAUGUAGAAAAAUUGAUUAAAUCUAAUUAAAUAUUGAAUUAGAUUAGGUCAGUAUUUCUCUAAAUCAAUCUCAAUAGUUGUAGUUUGAUCAAGUCCAUGUGUUUGACCCCAAUAAAUGAAUCAUGAUCAUGGCUCCAUGGUUGAGCUCGAAUCUUCUGAUGAACCCAAUCAAAACUAAUUAACUAGCUGGUGUCUAAGAUAAGUUUGGCAGAUUCGAUCAAGUGAUUUUUAAUUGGGAGCUAUUC
rnacentral:lncRNA from 1 species